UACGGGGGGUGCAAGCGUUGUUCGGAAUUACUGGGCGUAAAGGGCUCGUAGGUGGCCAACUAAGUCAGACGUGAAAUCCCUCAGCUUAACUGAGGAACUGCGUCUGAUACUGGAUGGCUUGAGUUUGGGAGAGGGAUGCGGAAUUCCAGGUGUAGCGGUGAAAUGCGUAGAUAUCUGGAGGAACACCGGUGGCGAAAGCGGCAUCCUGGACCAACACUGACACUGAUGAGCGAAAGCCAGGGGAGCAAACGGG
rnacentral:rRNA from 1 species